rnacentral:lncRNA from 1 species
AGAAAGAAAAUACGAGGAUGCUAAAAAAAAAUUGUCGAAAUGCUUGUUUUCUUUUUUUUUUGGGUGUGGUUCGUGGGUUUGGGCUGGAGCAAAAAUAAAUGCAUGAACAUUUCAAUUCGUUCUUUCCGUUAAACUUUCCACCGUAACUUUCCAAUCCACAAAAAAAUAGGUAGAACCUGGGUCAGUUCCCUGAAAUAUUGUCGCCGGCGUCGAUGUCGCUGAAAUCGCGUGGGCUUCUCUAGGAACCGCAGACAACGUCGUUUUGGCACGACUUGAGCCCGUUUUGGUCAACUCACAGCUUCGUCGCAAGUUUGUUGGGCAGCUCUCUGCCGCCACGAUUUCUCCGUUGUCCGGACAUCUUUAAUCGUGGCAACCUGUGCAGAGCCCUUCCGAACGAGCAGCUUCUAAGCGUGGGUUUUAACAACCCCUACUUAGCAAUAUUUCGGUGCCGCCGUUCCCUCGACACUCUCCGCCAAACUCAUCGCUGCAGAAGGAGACUGGUAAGAAGGAGAGGACAAAACCGUCUUUUAAUCAAGUAUAUGGGGUGCAGGAAGAAGAAAUGGAAUUGCAGGAAAAAACAUCGGAAUGCAUGAGUUUGAGGAUGCAACUCAGUCCAGUGCAAGAUAAAAGAAAAAAAAAAUACGGACAUUACCUUUAACUCAAUUGUCACCCAACCCAACUAACUUCUUCUCAUCUCCUCAAGCAAAAACCAGAGAAUGAGGAGAAAAUAAGAGAAAUUAAGACUGUUACACCCUCUUAUUAUCUAAUCAAACUUCAAUAGUUUAUUUUCAUACCCAUACAACAGCACCAUUCUAAUAAAUCAAGCGUAGUUGUUCAAAUGUUCUAAUGGACUCAUUAUGACUAGUUCCUGCCAACAAUAUUUUAUUUGGUAGACAGUUAGAAAUUUUUGGUAUAUGUUACCUGUGCUAUUCAUGCGAUUAAAUGGCGUCUUAGUCAUUUACCUACCGUUUGCAUUUGAAUUUCUUUGUCCAAAUAUUUAAGAUCAUAUUUCUUUUGGUAUCAUAUAGAAAAUCUUGUAUAUUGUUCGAGGAUCCUGUCUCUCACGCGUGUUUUUCAGGUAUUAUCUACAAUGGUUCAAGCCUGGAAGCUAUUUUAGCAGGAUUUACUGUGGAUAAAGUUAAUCCAACAAUGAUUCACGCAAGAAAGGUACAUAUAUCAGUGUCUGAUUGUAUUUUAAUUACAGGACUUUAUUGAUGAUGGUGACCAUUAUAACAAUGAAAGACUGGUUUAAAUCUAGUCAACGUACUAUUAUCACAAUGUCUGCUCACAUUUCAGUUUAUAAAUUGCUAGAAUUUUAUAGAAACUGAUUUUAUGAUGAACCGCUGAUAGAAAACUAUCCAAAUUCCCUUCUAGGAGGUAUUGGAAUGCUUAAACUGAAAUAGGAUUUUGAAACGAGAGAUUUGCGUAGUUUGUGUCAAUUAUUAGAUUCUUUUUAGAUCUCAUUUCCACCUUCCAAGCCUUCUUCAGUGGAAAAAAAUAUAAUAAACCACUAGAAUACGUUUAACGCUAACUUUUUUUAUAACUUAUACGAGAUCUUAGAUUAAAACAAACAUAAAAGUUAUGUAUAUAUAAUGUUCAGAACAGAGGAAUUUGGCUCAGUAAGCCAGUGGAACGUUUUGACGAUGAAAUUUGCUUACUGGUAAUGUUCACUUUCGAAACUCACUAACUGACUGGUUUUUCCAUAGUACGAGUGCAUAAGAGAUUGGAGUUUAUCACUCACUGCAACAUUUAUUUUCUUAUGCCACGAUUCUAGGGCUGCUUCAAACAUUGAAUGUAUUGAAGACUAGUUACAGAAUCUAGGGCAAGUGCUGGUGUAAAUCUAAAAUGUUGGGCACCACAUACAAAGAGUUGCUGCAAAAUUGAUAUUUAUUAUUUAUAACUGAUUUAAAAAAUACAUAUAGGAGCCUCUUAAGUGAAAUCGAAACGUUCUACAAUAUGACAAUUGUAUGGAGCUCUGACCUGAUAAAAUCUAUUUUGACUGUAGAAUAUGCAUUGGAGAAGAAACAAAAUGAUGCAUUCACUGAACUUCCCGUUUAAAAUUUUAUUUAUGCUUCAUAUGAAGUAGGAUGAGGAUGCCACGAACCUUUGCAGCCCAUUUCUGUAUACCGCCGGUAAACCAGCGAGUACAAUUUCUUAACCCCACCCCCACCAUGCAUUUUGGAGUUUUGAGUGUUUGAUGUUCAGUCUCACGGAGGGCUGUCUUUGCACCACCAUUGCAAUUGAAAUGGCCCCAAUGAAUCCAAUCCUGGGAAGGUGGUUAUCGAAAAUCAUUCAUUUACUUUGCCUGUUAUUCUGAAAGACUGGUUUCUUUCGUAUUCACACACUAGGGGGAUGAACUUUCCUCGUCUGAGCUUCUAUCCUGCUUUGGAUGGCUGUACCUAUUGAGAACAGGUAAUGAUACAUUUGGAGGUAUUCGGAAAGAUCUGCCAGAACCACCAACAAUUUUAUCAUGCAUUUUUUCCACUUCUUUGCACACUAGAUCCAAAAUACUCAGAAAGUCUCUUACAAUCAUGAAAAUUCUGAGAGGGUGGGCUUCUUCCUUUGCUGCAUUCCCAUGAAAGUAUUCCGUGACUUCUUUUACAAGAUACAAAGCUUUUCUCUCAUCCGCUUUAAUCCUUACAAUUUCAUCUUCAGCAUAUUUCAGAAAUAGCUUCGUAGAAUUAAAGAAAUUGCCAAGCACAUCUGGCUUUUCAUAUUGCAAAACCAAUCGCACUUUAUCAAGCCCUGUUUCAAGCUUUGAAAGAUAGCUGCUCAAGACAUCUGAAUCCAUUCCAGCUGCUUUUUUUACAUUACUAAGAUCUCUACUAAGCCCUGCCACAACCUGCAAUCCUUGCUUCUUAAACUCAUCCUCAUUAAAUUUGGAAUCCAUUUUCACAUUCUCAUUUGCAGAUUCAGCUCCUGCACCUUCAGAUCUAAUGAUCUCUUGAACCACAAAGUGGAGCAAUGUGGUUUUUCCAUCUAUUCCCUUUAUAUCUACUAGUUUCAAGAGUGUCUCCAGUUUGAAAGCUUUAGCAUCCCCUCUAUUAGUGCCAACAUUCAUUCUGUUUCCCGUCCUUAGAACAGCUUCAAGGAGUUUGAGGAAUAAGCGGCUGUUCUUUAAUUCACCACUUGCAGCCUGAAAUAUACUAACAACUGAAUGAUCACUUUCCUGUAAGAGAUCAAGAAAUCAAAGAUAACAAGGAAUUUGUGCAAAAAAAACAAAGAUAAUAAGGGGUAGAAACUAGACCUCCAUGGUUUGAAAAGACUUUCUAAGGUAGUUAAUUUCUGCAUCAAAGUUGGCUCUGUAGAGCAUAGCUUCAACUCUUUUAAAGGCAAAAGGGAUAUCAAGCACUGCUUUAAGAAACCUUUCUGCAGAUCCCAGUUUUGAGAGAUCACCGUCGUAGUUUUUAAGCUUUAUCUCUUCUUCUUUAGUCGGAGCCAUCUUUACUAGUGUUUCCAAUAGUUCAGUGCCCAAACCUUCAGGAUUCCCUGUUUCAUCGAAAGAAAUACUGCCAAUUAGCAAAGUGAAAAUACAUCCUUUGCUGUUCUCAAAGUGAAAAUACAGGAUGCAGAUAAGGAAUUGCUUUUAAAAACAAACAAUAGGCAUGUGAAGGAAAAUUUCUUUCAGUAGCCUUCUCUUCCUCUACUUCUUUUCAAAUGGCUAUAUCCCAUGCAAUUUACUUACACAUAGUUGCCUGUUAUAGCCUUCUCUGCCUGUAUCCAAAUCACCUUAUUUUCUAGUUUCUAUCAAUAUUUUCUAGAUAGGUAUCACACCAAUAUCUCUUCGAUAUACAAUAAUUAUGUAUUCUUUAUUCUCUCCUGUAGUCAUACAUACAUCCAUCUUAAUAUACUAUGCUAAUCCCAUUUUUUUCUCUUGCACCUUCAAAGCCUAACAUUUACCAACACCAUAGGUACGGUCAGAUCAUAUAGUAGUAUGACAACUUUUGAUCAUGUACUUUAGAAUAAAAAAUAAUUCCUUAUAUGUUUCUACAUUUUAAUCACCCAACUUGUAACCAUAUUCUAUAUUACUCUAUCAUUAUGUAAUAUUGAUCCCCAUGUAAUUACACAAAGAAACUUGUGGUAUUACACAUUUUUCAUUUUCUCUCCUUAAGCAAAAAAACUCUGAUUUCAAUCUGUCUCCAAAAUUCAAGUUUAUUUUUUUUUCUUGAUUACUCGAUCAAGAGAAUGUCAUCCUUAAAAUGCAUGCACUUGAACAAAGCCUUCUAUAUAUUAAACAAGGAUUUAAUAUUGAUUCAUGAUGUAAACCUAUCGAUAUAGGAAAGUCCUCAGUUUUGCCUUCACGGGUUUUCAUGCUAGUAAUUAACCCCUAUCAUAUGUCUGCUUUUACAAGGAUAAAAAGCCUUACGUCCGUCUUUUUCUUUACUUCGGUACUUUUUAUCAACCCCCACAGAAGAUUAGCACUAAUAAGAAAUAAGAAUAGCUUUACUUAAAUUUGAGUGUAGAAUACAAUGGCAGGCUUUUCUAUAGAACACGUUCAAAUUACUAGUGCUAUUUAAGGUGGAUGUACAAAAGUAAGGCAGACCCUCCUUUAACAAUAAGAAUGAAUAGACAGUAAACCUGCAUGACGUUUGAAUCUUUGACAGCAAUAUACUUUAAACCGUUUCUAGGAAAAACUGCUGACAGGCAGUGGUUAUAAGGAAAUUAGAACCGAGAGUUACCUUCUAAAGAAAAAGAUAAACACUGACACAAAGGCAAAGAUUAAAGAAGAAAUGUUGUAAUCCCACAAGGAAGAAUAAUCCAUCUUUUGGAUUGGAUGGAGAACUGGAAGCAAGAAUGGUGAUUAAAAAGAAAUGUGGUAUACUAAGAAAGAAGAAUAAUCCAUCUUUUGGAUUAGAGCACAGAAAGCAAACAUGGUGUGUUGGUCUGGUUGUGCCAUGCGUGAAAUUCAGGUCUUUGUAAAACAAGGUCGAGGCUCUGUUUAGUGACAGUUAGAGCCCAAAACUGCACAUCUUGGAAGUUUUGGAAUUGUAACAGUGAUAAGGUAAUUGACUACAGUGACCAUGUCAGUGUUGAGUUUAAUGACAAUAAUUCCAAUAGAAAUAGAAGAAUAGUUUGUGAAUAAAAGAUCUUUCUGAGUUUGGAGUUGAGGAUGAAGUGGGUGUGAUCCCACCUUGGUGGAUGUUCAAUUAUUCUUCUAUACUUCUAGAAGAUGUUUUAUGUCCAAGAGUAUUAUAAUUUAUGACUUGGAUUGUAUCUAUAUCGCACUUUUAAGAUCACAGUUACUGAAUACCUAAUUUCAUAGCUUAACAUAAUAAUGCACAUGGCAUGAUGCUGCUUGGACAUUCUCAUACUUAAUUUCAGAUGCUAUGAUGGUGACUUCAAGAUGAAGUCCUUGUACUAUGCACUCUGUCUUCUUGUAUGAUUUAUUCUCUCUACAUCGCUGGCAUAAACAGUGAUGGAACUUUAUGCCCCUCACUCCUUGUUUCCCCACACAAUAUAUAGAAUCGAAUAUAUUAACAUAUCUUAGAAGCAUUGUUUUGGUAGGUGAUAUUGACAACCUAAUUAAGGGAAUACUGCAGAUGAACUCAGUAGUCAACACUGUAGCUUAGGGCCCCCAAAAAUGUCUAACAGUAAGAUGAACCAAUCACCCUUUUAGUAUAAUUUACCCAAAUUAGAAAUCUGUGCUCAAGUAUCAAGUCUAAUUUGAUCCCCUAAUUAGGAAGAAUGAGAAAAGCAAGUUACCAUCUAAAAGAGCUUCAGACACCUCCUCUCUGGUCACAUUCAAAGCCCUGAGCAGUAUAGCUAUGUUCUGUGACUUCUUCGGGUCUAACACCCUGUUCUCCUGAUCAACAGAAGGAAGAACUGAUUUUCUGGGAGGUUCUUUCGGAGCAGAAUUCGUGGCUUUGCAUCCAAACAACGAUUCCAUCAUGUCCUCAUUUAACCUAUUUAAAGAAAAACGCCAUAUCAUGGAAAAAAGAAACAUUAGCUUCCAGUUAUACUAAUAUCCGAAUACUGUUAGUUAACUAAUUGAACUCACUGAAACGAGCUUGAUUUUAUCUGGUCCCACACUGUAGCACGGUCUGAGGUUGCACGCACUUUAUCCCAAUGCAGAGCCUUUAAUUUUGGUUUGGCUCCAUCCCUGUCAUUGGCUUCAAGCCUCUCGGAAGAGCUCACACUCUGUUCAACCUCUUCUGAACCUUUCGUUACACUGCCUUCAAUUGGUGAUAAAGACUGCCUCUUUACAGAUGCAGAAUUAGAGGAGACACUAACAGCCGGAGACUCUGAUUUUCGCGGCGGCGGUGGAGGAGGCGGAGGUGGAGGCGGUGGUGGAGGUGGUGGAGGAGGAUUGAAUAAACUAUUUGACACGUGCGAAACAGUGUCGGUUGUUGACUGAAGAUGCUUCAAAUUCGGAGGUGGGGGAGGCGCCGAAAAUUUCGGCUUUCUGGAAUGCUUAGGGGGCGGCGGCGACGGUGGAGGGGGCUGCUUUAUAGACGGAAUGAUGACACGGCGUAUCUCCGGCGAGGGUGCCGAAACCCGUGACUUGGGGGAAGUUCUCUUGGAAAACGGAACAACGGGUGUGGGCGUGGAAUUCAUGUCACGCUUCGCGGGACUUCCGUUGACAAGAGAGCUCUGCCGCGAAGCCGGCGUGUAGUAUCCAUCGACCGACGAGUUCUGCGGUGAGUGAAACACCGUGCCGCGGCUUUCCUCAUCGGACUCCGAUGAGGAGGAGACCGCCGGCGGGUAGUUACCGUCGGGAGGCUUACUGAGCGGCGGCAUUGGCUGCAAUUCAGGACUUGGACGGUAGCGAUCGGAUCGCUUAAGCUUGUGAUACGGCGAUCUGUUGGCCUUAUUAACAUCUCUGUUGUCUCGCGAGUCGUUGGUAGAGGCUCGCGUGGGUUCCACUGUCCCAAUGUAGAGGAAACUCGACGGUGGCGCAGUUGAAUCAACCUCGUUUCUGUUUGAGAUAUGGCUAUUGUUAUUGUUAUUCCCACUCCCAGCGACCAGUUUCUGAGACUCCACCGGGUGUUUGGCUCUGUGUUUGUACAAAAAGAAGGCCAACGCUGAUAGCAUUCCAAGGGUCACAAUCCCCACUGAGAUCGCGAUUGCUACCUUCUUUGUUCCCUUUGUGGGUUGUGUUGCAGUUGGGUUUGCAAUUGAAGUGUUGGAACUGGACGGGGCUGCUUGGCUCUGAUCCGGUGGGGGCCCCGCCGGGUACUCGUGGAAGAAG